rnacentral:rRNA from 1 species
AUUGAACGCUGGCGGCAGGCUUAACACAUGCAAGUCGAGCGGUAACAGGCCUUCGGGUGCUGACGAGCGGCGGACGGGUGAGGAAUGCAUAGGAAUCUGCCUAUUAGUGGGGGAUAACACGGGGAAACUCGUGCUAAUACCGCAUACGUCCUACGGGAGAAAGCGGGGGAUCGUAAGACCUCGCGCUAAUAGAUGAGCCUAUGCCGGAUUAGCUAGUUGGUAGGGUAAAGGCCUACCAAGGCGACGAUCCGUAGCUGGUCUGAGAGGAUGAUCAGCCACACUGGGACUGAGACACGGCCCAGACUCCUACGGGAGGCAGCAGUGGGGAAUAUUGGACAAUGGGCGCAAGCCUGAUCCAGCCAUGCCGCGUGUGUGAAGAAGGCCUUCGGGUUGUAAAGCACUUUAAGUGGGGAGGAAGGUCAGUAAGUUAAUACCUUAUUGAAUUGACGCUACCCACAGAAUAAGCACCGGCUAACUCUGUGCCAGCAGCCGCCGUAA